rnacentral:tRNA from 3 species
GUAGAGCACCGGUCUCCAAAACCGGGUGUUGGGAGUUCGAGUCUCUCCGCCCCUGCCA